AUGAAGCAUGGUUGUGUCUUCAGUGCGCACCGCCGGAUGAAUGACAUGCUGGGACACGCUAUCCCUGAUUUAUGCCGCUUCAGCUUGGAUGAGUCUCCAUCGUGUGGAACCGGACUAGAAAGUUGCGACAAUGAUUCCCGUUGCCCACUGCUAUGGAACGUGCCAUCCAUGAAGAACACCUGGGACUGGAACCUGGAGGAGGACAUAGUUGAUUUGAGAACAGUAGUAUACCAUAUAACUGGAAUUAACCGAUGCAAGUCGAAGAAGGAUUGGUCGGUGCUGCCGGCUGGCGUCAAGUUCGAUCCCACGAAUCAGGAGCUGAUCGAGCACCUUGAGGCCAAAGUGAGUGCUGACAGUGCGAGAUCUCACCCUCUCAUCGAUUUGUUCAUACCAACCAUCGACAGCGAGCACGGCAUAUGCUACACCCAUCCUGAGAAACUUCCAGAUGCAGACCUGCGCAAUUAUAGGGCGUUCAAAAGGGGCACGUGGACGCGUCGCAAGAUACAGUCGGAGUGCGGCAUGCACGCGAUGUGGCACAACACCGGCAAUACCUUGCCGGUGAUGGUCAACGGCCGGCAGACGGGCAUCAAAAAGGUUCUGGUGCUGCACACCAACAAGAACUUCGACCAGCAGAGGACCAACUGGGUGAUGCACCAGUACCACCUCAGGGACCUGGAGCAAGAGAAGGAGCGGGAGCUGGCCCAGCCCAUGAAGACAACGGGGCACAAAGAUCCAGCAAGUAUCUACUGGCCUCUGGCCCGCCAGCGUUAG
rnacentral:rRNA from 1 species